rnacentral:rRNA from 1 species
GAUGAACGCUAGCUACAGGCUUAACACAUGCAAGUCGAGGGGAAACGGCAUUAAGUGCUUGCACUUUUUGGACGUCGACCGGCGCACGGGUGAGUAACGCGUAUCCAACCUUCCCAUGACUAAGGGAUAACCUGCCGAAAGGCAGACUAAUACCUUAUGGUCUUCACUGACGGCAUCAGAUGUGAAGUAAAGAUUUAUCGGUUAUGGAUGGGGAUGCGUCUGAUUAGCUUGUUGGCGGGGUAACGGCCCACCAAGGCAACGAUCAGUAGGGGUUCUGAGAGGAAGGUCCCCCACAUUGGAACUGGGACACGGUCCAAACUCCUACGGGAGGCAGCAGUGAGGAAGAUUGGUCAAUGGGCGAGAGCCUGAACCAGCCAAGUAGCGUGCAGGAUGACGGCCCUAUGGGUUGUAAACUGCUUUUGUAUGGGGAUAAAGUCAAUCACGUGUGAUUGUUUGCAGGUACCAUACGAAUAAGGACCGGCUAAUUCCGUG